rnacentral:tRNA from 1 species
AGGGAGUUAGUCCAAAACAAGACCUCUGAUUUCGGCUCAGAAAAUUGUGGUGUGAGUCCACAACCCCCUU